rnacentral:rRNA from 1 species
GUAACACGUAAAGAACCUGCCCUCAGGUCUGGGAUAACCACGAGAAAUCGGGGCUAAUACCGGAUGGGUCAUCGGACCGCAUGGUCCGAGGAUGAAAGGCGCUUCGGCGUCGCCUGGGGAUGGCUUUGCGGUGCAUUAGCUAGUUGGUGGGGUAAUGGCCCACCAAGGCGACGAUGCAUAGCCGACCUGAGAGGGUGAUCGGCCACACUGGGACUGAGACACGGCCCAGACUCCUACGGGAGGCAGCAGUAGGGAAUCUUCCACAAUGGACGAAAGUCUGAUGGAGCAACGCCGCGUGAACGAUGAAGGCCUUCGGGUCGUAAAGUUCUGUUGUAAGGGAAGAACAAGUGCCGCAGGCAAUGGCGGCACCUUGACGGUACCUUGCGAGAAAGCCACGGCUAACUACGUGCCAGCAGCCGCGGUAAUACGUAGGUGGCAAGCGUUGUCCGGAAUUAUUGGGCGUAAAGCGCGCGCAGGCGGCCUCUUAAGUCUGAUGUGAGAGCCCCCGGCUCAACCGGGGAGGGCCAUUGGAAACUGGGAGGCUUGAGUAUAGGAGAGAAGAGUGGAAUUCCACGUGUAGCGGUGAAAUGCGUAGAGAUGUGGAGGAACACCAGUGGCGAAGGCGACUCUUUGGCCUAUAACUGACGCUGAGGCG